GUAGCAAAAUCAUUUGUUUUUUAAUUGAAAACUGGAAUGAAAGGUUGAACAAAUACACAGUUUUUUACUUUGAAUUAUUAGAAUUUUUAGUUUAUGUAAAAAUACAUAAAUAUUUUAAAGGGACGAUAAGACCCUAAAAGCUUUAUUUAUUAAUUUUUUUUAUUGUUUUAAUUUGGUUAUUAAAAUUAUUUUAACUGGGGCGGUUGUUUUUAUUAAACAAAAAUUUUUUUUACAAAUAGGGUUUAAGAUCCUUAAAAUUAGGAUAAGUUGUUUAAGUUACUUUAGGGGUAACAGCGUGAUGAUAAUGAGGAGACCUUAUUUAUAUUAUUGAUUGCGACCUCGAUGUUGAAUUAAAUUUUUCUAUAUGAAGCAGAAAUUAUAUAUGAAAGUUUGUUCAACUUUUAAAAAUUU
rnacentral:rRNA from 1 species